rnacentral:rRNA from 1 species
AGGGAAAGGUGAAAAGAACUGCGGUGAUCAGAGUGAAAUAGAACCUGAAACCAUUUGCUUACAAUCAUUCAGAGCCCUAUGUAGCAAUACAGGGUGAUGGACUGCCUUUUGCAUAAUGAGCCUGCGAGUUGUGGUGUCUGGCAAGGUUAAGCAAACGCGAAGCCGUAGCGAAAGCGAGUCUGAAUAGGGCGCUUAGUCAGAUGCUGCAGACCCGAAACGAAGUGAUCUAUCCAUGAGCAAGUUGAAGCUAGUGUAAGAACUAGUGGAGGACUGAACCCAUAGGCGUUGAAAAGCCCCGGGAUGACUUGUGGAUAGGGGUGAAAGGCCAAUCAAACUUCGUGAUAGCUGGUUCUCUCCGAAAUAUAUUUAGGUAUAGCGUUGUGUCGUAAUAUAAGGGGGUAGAGCACUGAAUGGGCUAGGGCAUACACCAAUGUACCAAACCCUAUCAAACUCCGAAUACCUUAUAUGUAAUCACAGCAGUCAGGCGGCGAGUGAUAAAAUCCGUCGUCAAGAGGGAAACAACCCAGACUACCAGCUAAGGUCCCUAA